rnacentral:rRNA from 1 species
GCGUUAUCCGGAUUUAUUGGGUUUAAAGGGUGCGUAGGCGGCCUGUUAAGUCAGGGGUGAAAGACGGUAGCUCAACUAUCGCAGUGCCCUUGAUACUGACGGGCUUGAAUAAACUAGAGGUAGGCGGAAUGAGACAAGUAGCGGUGAAAUGCAUAGAUAUGUCCCAGAACACCGAUUGCGAAGGCAGCUUACUAUGGUUUGAUUGACGCUGAGGCACGAAAGCGUG